CACUGGUACACUGCGGUGUCAGUACAAUAAUAUGUUUUGCAAACCUUGAAAAGCCGCUUCAUUCUGUGUUUUUCUUGUCUCGUGUUUGAUAAGCCAAAGCAAGCUAUUUUUAAACAGUGAGGGGAGAAGCCGCCUGCUAUUUGGAGCACACGGUGAACUGUAACGGCUGCUGGACACAAUUAUCAGCGUUGGCUCUAGAAC